rnacentral:lncRNA from 10 species
CCGGCCCCAACAGAAGCCCUGAUUCACAUAUUUAGAGAAGAAAUAAUCUCAAUCCUACACCAACUCUCCCAGAACAUGAAGGAGGAGGGAUACUUCCCAACUCAUUUUAAUUUAUAUUUGACUUACCCUGAUGCUAAAGCCAGUCUAAGACAUUACAAGAGCCUGCACAUGAUGGAUCAGCUGGCCCCACCCAGAUCAAUGAACUGGCUCAUCUGAUCUCGUGCCCCUCCUCCCCAACCCAGUAACUGACUGCGUAAGAAGACGGCUUCUACUCCCUAUGAUUUCAUCUCUGACCAAUCAGCACUCCUGAUUGGCUUCCCCUCUUCCACCAAGUUAUCCUUAAAAAUUCUGCUCCCUGAAUGCUCAAAUGCUCAGAGAGGCUGAUUUGAGUAAUAAUAAAACUCUGGUCUCCCACACAGCCGGCUCUGAGUGAAUUAGUCUUUCUCUAUUGCAAUUGCCCUGUCUUGACGAAUCUGCUCUGUCUAGGCAGCGGGCAAGGUCAGGUCAACCCCUUGGGCGGUUACAAAACCGCCUUUGCAAAAAUUAUAACUGAGGAAAUUAUGGCAGUGAAAGAGAUCAGAUCUAACUGACUCCAUCUUGCUUCUGACCUUCAAGCUGUCCUUGUACAUUCUUGGGUGGAUGCCAAACUAACUUUGGGAAGGAAUUCAGUUCAUGAUUUGACUCUGAAACAAAAUUGGCAUUGCAUUCUGGUGGAACAACUGAUGCCACCCAGACUUGUGACCCCCACCCAGGAACUGACAGAGGCACAGAGACAGUUUUGAUAACCCUGUGGUUUCAUCCCUGACCAAACCAAUCAGUAUUUCCCAUUCCCUAGCUCCCUGCCUGCCAAACUAUCCUUAAAACCCUAGCCUCCGCAUUCUCUGGGAGGCAGAUUUGAGAAUUGUCUCAUCUUCUCGCUUGGCUGGCCUUGCAAUUAAACAUGUUCUUUGCUGCA